GUUUCUUGAAGAGGAGAAGAGAGGAAAUGAACGAGGAAGAGGAGAAGGGAGCACAGAGGCGAGGGGCGAGAAGACAAAGUGCCUUCAUCUUCUUUGAAUCCCAUCGCCCCGUUCGGUCUUACUCGACUCGGAAACAAAGGUUCGAGGAUCUUGAAGAUGGAGGUAUCUGCGCUGGUGUUGGCUUGUGGCUUGAGGGUGGGAGCUGAUGAAAGGUACAAGAUUUGGUGUUGUAUUGGCAAUCCGUUGGCAUUGCAUUAUGCUUCCGAGGCCAAGUGCUUCACAGUGCCGUCUUCAGCAGAGGGCUGGAGCUGAUGGAACCAAUAAUAGGUCCCUGUAUGUCAUCAAGGUCGGACCUGUCCACAAUGCCAAGUGAUUUCUUUUCGAUUCUUACCACACCAUCGCUUUGGUAAGUCGAGUUUACUAAGAGUUUAGUUUAAUGAGACAGUUAGUUAAAUAAUGUCUAAAUGAUUCUACUAUAGUUGAUCUAUCAGUUAGUUAAUGACACAGUUAAUUAGUCGAGAUAAAUGGUACUAAAAAUUGUUCAAUAAUGUUAAUUUCAGUUUUGAAAAUCCUAAUGGUUCUAAACGAUCAAAUAUGAGUCGCAAAUGUGUUUAUCAAAGAGAUUCUUCAAAGUAGCAGUCUGGAUUGAUGCAGAAUGAUAUUUGAGAAAGUUUCUUUGAUGUCCAUGCAACUUCUUAUUAAUGUUCUUCGUUGGGACUCUCACUACCAACCACAAUGAAUCAUAAUUAUGUAGAAGUUUCUCUAAACUAAAGAUCCGGAAGUACACUGUCAAGCUUGGGUAGCUUCUUAGCAUAUACUUCGAGACUGAGUAGCGAUAUUAUCAGACAAAUAGGAUGGAUGGAUCACAGCAACACUCAUCAAUAUGAAAAGAGGCAAAAUCAUCACAAAAACCAUAAGAACAUAGUGCUGCAACACCCAUAUAGCCGAAUACUUACAAGCAGACAGCUAGAGUGGCCCUCUGUGCAUCUUCACUGUAGUGCCAGAUUUAUUUUGCUGGAGCAUUGUUGGGAACUAGCUUAUUAAGUAAAUGUUUUUUUUUUCUUUAGAUUAUUAGUUAUCAAAUUCAUCAUGGCAAUCAGAGUUCUGCAUUCACUAUCUCCCUCACCUCACAACAUGGAACUUGUGGUUCGUUUUAACAUUUCCUUCAGUGAUGUACUUACAUGUGAUGACAUGAAUUUAUGCAUCUUC